rnacentral:rRNA from 1 species
AGGAUGAACGCUGGCGGCGUGCCUAAUACAUGCAAGUCGAGCGAACUGAUUAGAAGCUUGCUUCUAUGACGUUAGCGGCGGACGGGUGAGUAACACGUGGGCAACCUGCCUGUAAGACUGGGAUAACUUCGGGAAACCGAAGCUAAUACCGGAUAGGAUCUUCUCCUUCAUGGGAGAUGAUUGAAAGAUGGUUUCGGCUAUCACUUACAGAUGGGCCCGCGGUGCAUUAGCUAGUUGGUGAGGUAACGGCUCACCAAGGCAACGAUGCAUAGCCGACCUGAGAGGGUGAUCGGCCACACUGGGACUGAGACACGGCCCAGACUCCUACGGGAGGCAGCAGUAGGGAAUCUUCCGCAAUGGACGAAAGUCUGACGGAGCAACGCCGCGUGAGUGAUGAAGGCUUUCGGGUCGUAAAACUCUGUUGUUAGGGAAGAACAAGUACGAGAGUAACUGCUCGUACC